rnacentral:rRNA from 1 species
UACGUAGGGACCGAGCGUUGUCCGGAAUCAUUGGGCGUAAAGAGCGUGUAGGCGGCCACUUAAGUCCUGCGUGAAAUCUUGCGGCUCAACCGCAAGCGGUCGUGGGAAACUGGGUGGCUAGAGUGCGGGAGAGGAGAGUGGAAUUCCUGGUGUAGCGGUGGAAUGCGCAGAUAUCAGGAAGAACACCCGUGGCGAAGGCGGCUCUCUGGAACGCAACUGACGCUGAGGAGCGAAAGCAUGGGGAGCGAACAGG